AGUGAACGCUGGCGGUAGGCCUAACACAUGCCAGUCGAACGGCAGCACAGUAAGAGCUUGCUCUUACGGGUGGCGAGUGGCGGACGGGUGAGGAAUACAUCGGAAUCUACUUUUUCGUGGGGGAUAACGUAGGGAAACUUACGCUAAUACCGCAUACGACCUACGGGUGAAAGCAGGGGAUCUUCGGACCUUGCGCGAUUGAAUGAGCCGAUGUCGGAUUAGCUAGUUGGCGGGGUAAAGGCCCACCAAGGCGACGAUCCGUAGCUGGUCUGAGAGGAUGAUCAGCCACACUGGAACUGAGACACGGUCCAGACUCCUACGGGAGGCAGCAGUAGGGAAUAUUGGACAAUGGGCGCAAGCCUGAUCCAGCAAUACCGCGUGGGUGAAGAAGGCCUUCGGGUUGUAAAGCCCUUUUGUUGGGAAAGAAAAGCAGCAGGUUAAUACCCCGCUGUUCUGACGGUACCCAAAGAAUAAGCACCGGCUAACUUCGUG
rnacentral:rRNA from 1 species